GUCCCUUCAGGGACAUCCAUUAAAACUAAAACGAUACAAAGAAGAUUAGCAUGCCCGCUCAUCGAGGACGACAUGCACAUAUUGAGAAAUGAUCUAAACUUUA
rfam:Triticum aestivum genome assembly, contig: Triticum_aestivum_CS42_TGACv1_scaffold_146238_2BS